rnacentral:lncRNA from 1 species
UAAUGAAGGUGAUCCAGAAAUAUAUUGGCUGUCAAAGUUGCAUCACUGGCUUGCUUUUUUUUUUUUUUUAAUGCUGGAAGAUAAAGUGGCUACCUCUGAGACAAGUUUUUCAAAACUCCAUUUUCCACCAGUUCUGUUGCAAUCUCUAGGUGUUAUAAUCAAGAAAUUAAAAAUGCUUAAUCACUGAAAAUUGAUCAAUUAUUGGUUUGCUUCCACUUCUACCCAGGUCACGUAAAACAUGCAUUCGGACCACAGAUUUUCAGAGAAGUGUAGCUCAUAAAAAUUAUUGAAGCUUGUGAAGAAUGGAUGUGAUCAUCUAAAUUACUUAAAACAACUAAAAGGAAAACUCAAAUACAUUAAUGAUUUUUAUCUUCACAUGAAUAAGAAAAGUUUUUUUAAGUCCAUGUUGAUAGAAAAUUGUAUUCAAGUCAUUAAAAGAGACAUGAGUGCCCAAUAUUCCUCUCAAAAAGAAAAUGUUGAACCACAAGAGGUUGUAGCUUUUGGAAUGAAGCUAAAUGUGACCAGAAUUUUUUUUUUUUUUUUUUUUUUGAGAUGGAGUCUUGCUCUAUCGCCCGGGCUGGAAUGCAAUGGCACGAUCUUGGCUCACUGCAACCUCCACUUCCUGGGUUCCAGCAAUUCUUGCCUCAGCCUCCCAAGUAGCACUGGCUAAUUUUUGUAUUUUUAGUAGAGACAGGGUUUCACCACGUUGGCCACCACGAACUUCUGACCUCAGGUGAUCCACCCGCCUUGGCCUCCCAAAGUGCUGGGAUUACAGGCAUGAGCCACCGUGCCCAGCCGAUGACCAGAAAUUUAUAAAAUCAUCAGGUAGGCCAAAGGAGAUGAAGAAUGUAAAGUCAGAGACUUUUUUAAAUAUUAAGGAUUUUCUUCCUGAAGUAAUGCUCAAAAUGUCCAUUACCUAAGUCUUCAGUUGUAAUGCAUCUACAUUUAAGUAUUAAUUAAUUAAUUAAGUAUACAGCAAAGAGCUCAGCUGGCUCAAACUGGACAUCUCUGGUAUCAAAAUAUGACUUCCUUGAUUUGUAUGGUAGGCCUAAACACUGAUUCUCAACCAAGAGAUUGUGCUACCUUAGGGGACUUUUGGCAAAAAUAUCUGGACUCACUUUCAGAUAUCACCACUUGGGGUAGGAGGGGGUGUGCUUGUGGCAUCCAGUGGGUAGAAAAGGUGCUGCUAAAUAUCCUACAAUGCACAAGACAGCUCUCAACAGUGAAUUAUCCAGUCUGAAAUGUUAAUAGUGCUGAGGUUGAGAAACCCUGGCCCAGACCCAAUCUUAAUAGGGCAACUGAUAAGAAUAGUGUAAAAAAAAAAAUUAUAAAGGAUGGUUUUCAAGAAUGCAAUAAAACUACCACUAUAGUAGAAACUGUAGAGUCCAUAGAGAAGACAGCUUCUGUCAAUAUCACAUAAAUGCAUAUAUGAUUACUCCAUAGCUUAAUUCACAGUGUUUUAGCACAUAAUGGUGCUUCUGCAGCAAUGUUAGAAGUAGCCCAGACUCUGGUUUUCAAGUAAAAGAUAAACUUCUUGCUGAGAAAAUAUCAUAUUUUAUUCUGUGUGAGUGUUGCAUUGUUUCAUGUGAAGCAUCAGAAUGUGAGUAAAAUGGAAAUUCCCAUCUUUAUAUCUGGCAGUUGAUUUUGGCUUGGUCUGAGAGCAGAAUUUUUGUAUUCUUGGUAUGUCUAGGAGCCAAAAAAGUACAAAUAUGAUUUAGACAUUAUUUGAAGGGAGAUAGUACUACUGGCAUCACUCUAAAAAUUUUCAGAAGAAAAAUUGUUUAGACCUUGGGAAAAAACAAAGUCAAGAAAAUGAAUUUCAACAAGAAACACAUUACUUACAUGAUUUAAUAGAUAAUUUUGGCCCUGAAACUAAGUUUGUGUUUCCUUAAAAUUUAUUACUUGAGGAUAUGAGAGACCAAAUUUGUAGCUGAUAUUGACAACAAUUUAUUGUGGAGGCAAGGAUUAUUGAUAUUCUUCUUGUAGUGGGAAAAACCAUACAAUUGUAGUUGUCUUCCUUGAAUUACUGAAAUUAGAAUGUUUCUGAACUAAAAGUCUGUUGGCAGCAGAAUUGUUCUUCUUUGGCCUUUGUGUAAUGUGAUCAGCCUAUUUUUUUUUUUUUUUUGGUAUUGGAAAUUUGUUAAGACCUCUGUUAGCAUUGUAAGAUUUACCUGCAUUUUUGCUGAAACACUUAAGGACUAAAUAUUAUGUGCAAAAUUAUUUUAUUUUAGAGGUGAACAAUCUAAGAGGUGACUAGCUUAUUUGACAGCAUUGUUGAGUCAGUUUAGCAUUAUGUACUAUCAUUAAAAUAACGAACAAUCUAUAUAGUAUUCAGAAUAUUUAGAACAUGUACUAGGAGUCCACUCUUCUUCAAUAUACCUGUUGGCCUUACCUGCCUUGGAUUAUUGAUCUGUG